rnacentral:rRNA from 1 species
GCCAGCCCGCUCAAGAAACUUAAUGAAUUGACGGGGCCGCACAAGCGGUGGAGUAUGUGGUUUAAUUCGAUGCAACGCGAAGAACCUUACCUGGUCUUGACAUCCCGGAGACCCUUAGGAAACUAGGGGGUGCUUCCAUCUGGAAGAAUCUGGAGACAGGUGCUGCAUGGCUGUCGUCAGCUCGUGUCGUGAGAUGUUGGGUUAAGUCCCGCAACGAGCGCAACCCUUGCCUUUAGUUGCCAGCAGUUCGGCUGGGCACUCUAAAGGGACUGCCGGUGUUAAACCGGAGGAAGGUGGGGAUGACGUCAAGUCCUCAUGGCCUUUAUGACCAGGGCUACACACGUACUACAAUGGCCGAUACAAAGGGCAGCGACACUGCGAGGUGAAGCCAAUCCCGUAAAAUCGGUCUCAGUCCGGAUUGGAGUCUGCAACUCGACUCCAUGAAGUUGGAAUCGCUAGUAAUCGUGGAUCAGCAUGCCACGGUGAAUACGUUCCCGGGCCUU